GAUGAACGCUGGCGGCGUGCUUAACACAUGCAAGUCGAACGAGAAGUGGAGACGGAAACCUUCGGGCGGAAGACUUUAUUUCGAGUGGCGGACGGGUGAGUAACGCGUGGGUAACCUGCCUCAUACAGGGGGAUAACAGUUGGAAACGACUGUUAAUACCGCAUAAGACCACAGCACCGCAUGGUGCGGGGGUAAAAACUCCGGUGGUAUGAGAUGGACCCGCGUUCGAUUAGCCAGUUGGCGGGGUAACGGCCCACCAAAGCGACGAUCGAUAGCCGAUCUGAGAGGAUGACCGGCCACAUUGGGACUGAGCCACGGCCCAAACUCCUACGGGAGGCAGCAGUGGGGAAUAUUGCACAAUGGGGGAAACCCUGAUGCAGCGACGCCGCGUGAGUGAAGAAGUAUUUCGGUAUGUAAAGCUCUAUCAGCAGGGAAGAAAAUGACGGUACCUGAGUAAGAAGCCCCGGCUAACUACGUG
rnacentral:rRNA from 1 species